CAGCAAGUUCUGGAAGAAAUAUUUACAGCAAGUCAAGGGACGGAAGUGUACAGUGCAGAGUAUCCUGAGCUAGAAGAACUGCUCUCAGUGUCCUCAUAACCAGGGGCUGUGUUAUACUUGCUCACUGUCUUCACUUGUUGAGGGGGAAAAUCCUUUGGAGAAAAAGAGGAUAAACUAGUAUACAAUGGCCACCUGUUCUUGUAUUCUGUGGUGCAUAUUUUGGAUUGUAGUCCUUAUUUUCUUGGCCUGGCCACUCAGCAUCUUUUUUGGAGCUCUGUAUGGGUUUCUGGCACCCCUCACCACCUGUGUGGGACUGGACCAGGUGACAGACUUGUUGCUCCAGGGGGUCAACCUGGGCAGAACCUGUGCAGAGUACGCACGUACAGGAAAAUCCCUUUGCUGAGCGGAUGACGUGGGCUUUCUACAACUUGAUCAAUGCUUCAUCUCAAGUCACUAAAAUUUCUAAGACUUACAAGACCUUUCACCCGUCUGUCUGAACAGUGAUAUUAACAACUUUGCCGAUGAACACCAGCGGCUCUAUCUGGGGAGUAUAUGUUUGGGACUUCUCCAGAUGAGGGUUAUAUGUACCUUUUGUAUUACUUGCCUUGUUUUGUAUUAAAUACAUUUCCAAUGGUCGUUUGUAGAAGUUCAUCAUAAAAAUUAAGGUAAUCGGCA